rnacentral:lncRNA from 1 species
UUAGUUUGUAAGUGUGUUUAAAUUUAUGUCUUUCCCAUAUUUUUUAAUUCUCGCAAAUUUCUCUGACUUUUGUAAUUUGAAAUCUGUUCUUUUGAAUUAAAAAGAUAACAUUUUCCCUUCUUAAUAAUAUGUUUAACAAUGUGAACGAUGUGCUUGCAUAUUUAAAAUUUUGUCUAGCAUUUUUACCCUCCAUUUUAAUUAUGCCAAAAGGGGAUAAGUAUGGGA